rnacentral:rRNA from 1 species
AUUGAACGCUGGCGGCAGGCCUAACACAUGCAAGUCGAACGGUAGCACAGAGAGCUUGCUCUUGGGUGACGAGUGGCGGACGGGUGAGUAAUGUCUGGGAAACUGCCCGAUGGAGGGAGAUAACUACUGGAAACGGUAGCUAAUACCGCAUAACGUCUUCGGACCAAAGUGGGGGACCUUCGGGCCUCACACCAUCGGAUGUGCCCAGAUGGGAUUAGCUAGUAGGUGGGGUAAUGGCUCACCUAGGCGACGAUCCCUAGCUGGUCUGAGAGGAUGACCAGCCACACUGGAACUGAGACACGGUCCAGACUCCUACGGGAGGCAGCAGUGGGGAAUAUUGCACAAUGGGCGCAAGCCUGAUGCAGCCAUGCCGCGUGUAUGAAGAAGGCCUUCGGGUUGUAAAGUACUUUCAGCGGGGAGGAAGGCGAUGGAGUUAAUAGCUUCAUCGAUUGACGUUACCCGCAGAAGAAGCACCGGCUAACUCCGUGCCAGCCGCCGCGGUAA